rnacentral:rRNA from 1 species
GACGAACGCUGGCGGCGUGCUUAACACAUGCCAGUCGAACGAAGAGCGAUGGAAGCUUGCUUCUAUCAAUCUUAGUGGCGAACGGGUGAGUAACGCGUAAUCAACCUGCCCUUCAGAGGGGGACAACAGUUGGAAACGACUGCUAAUACCGCAUACGAUCUAACCUCGGCAUCGAGGAUAGAUGAAAGGUGGCCUCUACAUGUAAGCUAUCACUGAAGGAGGGGAUUGCGUCUGAUUAGCUAGUUGGAGGGGUAACGGCCCACCAAGGCGAUGAUCAGUAGCCGGUCUGAGAGGAUGAACGGCCACAUUGGGACUGAGACACGGCCCAGACUCCUACGGGAGGCAGCAGUGGGGAAUCUUCCGCAAUGGACGAAAGUCUGAUGGAGCAACGCCGCGGGAGUGAUGACGGCCUUCGGGUUGGAAAGCUCUGUUAAUCGGGACGAAAGGCCUUCUUGCGAAUAGUGAGAAGGAUUGACGGUACCGGAAGAGAAAGCCACGGCUAACUACGUG